rnacentral:rRNA from 1 species
AUUCCAGCUCCAAUAGCGUAUAUUAAAGUUGUUGCAGUUAAAAAGCUCGUAGUUGGAUUUCUGGCCGGGGCGACCGGUCGGCGCCCUAGCGGCGUGUGCACUGUCGUCGGCCCUGGCCAUCUGCGUUCGGAGGGUCGCUGGCAUUAAGUUGUCGGCGGCUUGACGGGCGCCGUUUACUGUGAAAAAAUUAGAGUGUUUAAAGCAGGCGAUCGCUGUGAAUACAUUAGCAUGGAAUAAUGAGAUAGGACUUUGGUACUAUUUUGUUGGUUUGCGCACCAAGGUAAUGAUUAAUAGGGAUAGUUGGGGGUAUUCAUAUUCAAUUGUCAGAGGUGAAAUUCUUGGAUUUAUGGAAGAUGAACUUAUGCGAAAGCAUUUACCAAGGAUGUUUUCAUUG